AGAGUUUGAUCAUGGCUCAGAUUGAACGCUGGCGGCAUGCCUUACACAUGCAAGUCGAACGGCAGCACAGGUGCUUGCACCGGGUGGCGAGUGGCGAACGGGUGAGUAACACAUCGGAACGUGUCCUGGAGUGGGGGAUAGGCCGGCGAAAGCCGGGUUAAUACCGCAUACGAUCUGAGGAUGAAAGCGGGGGACCUUCGGGCCUCGCGCUCAAGGAGCGGCCGAUGGCGGAUUAGCUAGUUGGUGGGGUAAAGGCCCACCAAGGCGACGAUCCGUAGCUGGUCUGAGAGGACGACCAGCCACACUGGGACUGAGACACGGCCCAGACUCCUACGGGAGGCAGCAGUGGGGAAUUUUGGACAAUGGGGGCAACCCUGAUCCAGCAAUGCCGCGUGUGUGAAGAAGGCCUUCGGGUUGUAAAGCACUUUUGUCCGGAAAGAAAACUUCGUCCCUAAUAUGGAUGGAGGAUGACGGUACCGGAAGAAUAAGCACCGGCUAACUACGUGCCAGCAGCCGCGGUAAUACGUAGGGUGCGAGCGUUAAUCGGAAUUACUGGGCGUAAAGCGUGCGCAGGCGGUGAUGUAAGACCGAUGUGAAAUCCCCGGGCUUAACCUGGGAACUGCAUUGGUGACUGCAUCGCUGGAGUAUGGCAGAGGGGGGUGGAAUUCCACGUGUAGCAGUGAAAUGCGUAGAGAUGUGGAGGAACACCGAUGGCGAAGGCAGCCCCCUGGGCCAAUACUGACGCUCAUGCACGAAAGCGUGGGGAGCAAACAGGAUUAGAUACCCUAGUAGUCC
rnacentral:rRNA from 1 species